GGGCAGGUGGCAGAGUGGUUGAUUGCUCCAGUCUUGAAAACUGGCGUACCGGCAACGGUACCGUGGGUUCGAAUCCCACCCUGCCCG
rnacentral:tRNA from 1 species